AUGACACUUAAGCACAGAGACUUCGAUCCAUUCGUGUCGGGUCGCUACAGCAUAGUUAUGACGAUAUCUAAGGCAAUGAUCAUGAAUAUAGGCAUCACGUCCGUGACAGGUUUUAAGGUCUUUGGGCUCCAACGUAACAUCUUUAGAGGAACAUGUCUGCCAUUAUUGGACCCAAAAAAAUUUGUUGAGGUUGUUGAGAUUGGUAAAGGGAAGCAUAAUAUAAUUGGAUUUUGUUCAAGACAAAUGAAAAACAAACAAAGGUCUAUCAGUUUCAGCCGACAUGACAAAAGGCAUAAAUUGUUCCAUGCUUGCUAG
rnacentral:rRNA from 1 species